AAGAAGGGUGCACAGGUGAACUCUAUUGGUGAUUGGGGGACCUAUCAAUUUGGGCUCCUUCCAGAACUUAAAACUGGUUACAAAUAUGAAACAGAUUUAACUACUGGACUUGAACUCCACAUAAGGAAAAAAAAAAAGAAGAAGAUCCUCAAAGAUCCUCAUCAAAGAAUAGAUGCAGUGUGACUGGCAGGGAUAUCAAAGAGGUGCACUAAAAUCUACGUCCUGUCCUUUUGUCCACCGUGCUUUCUCUACUGCAUUUGCCCUCAGUGACCCGAUUGCCUCCAUUGUAACUGAAGGUGGGGGUCCAGCUGCUUGCUGCUCAACAGCCAAUAAGGAGGCAAGGUUGGUGGAAAUGAAAGUUU
rnacentral:lncRNA from 1 species